CAGGUGAUAAAUGUUCAUAAGAAAUAGAAGAAGACAAAGGAAAUGGUAUACCUGGUGUAUGAGAUGCCUUGACCAAUGAUUGAGUGGGUGAGAUUGAAGUAGCUUGCUGACAGUGAAAGUCUCUGAGAUAUUGAGGGGCUUUCCUUGUUCUAGUGGUUUUCCUAAGAGAAGAUUUGGAUGCAGGUUCUUCAUGUAAUUGAAGAGGAAAAAUGGGAGAAGGAACUAUUGGAGCAGAAGAAAUGGGUGGUGGAAGUUGAUUUUCUGGAGGAAUGGGCAGAGUAGUUGUAGUGGAGGGUGAAGGAUUAGAAAAAUGAGAAUAGGAAAGAGGGUGAUGAAGUGAUGAUUGUGGGGGUGGUGAAGGAUGAGACUGAUGAUGAAAGGGGAAGACAUUUUCAUGAAAUGUAACAUCCCUAGAGAUGAAAACUACUUUGGUGUUGAGAUCAAGUAACUUGUAACCUUUUACCCCAAAUGGAUAACCAAGAAAAACACAAUGCUUACCUCGGGGAUCAAAUUUCUUUCUGUUUUGAGAUAGAGUAGAGGCAAAGCAUAAACAUCCAAAAAUUUUCAUGUGAGAAUAUGUGGGGGGAGUUUUAAAAAGAAGCUCAAGAGGUGUUUUAUUGGAAAGUAGAGGGGUGGGAAUUCAAUUGACAAUAUAAGCUGCAGUGAGGAUGCAGUCAUUCCAAUAGAGAUGAGGAAGGUUUGAUUGAAUUUUAAGGGCUCUGGCCAUAUUUAAGAGAUGUUGGUGCUUUCUUUCAGCUACCCCAUUUUGUUGUGGGGUUUCCACACAAGUUCUGUGAUGAAUAAUGCCUUUUUUAUUGAAAAAAUCUCUCAUUUGGAACUCAAGGUCAUUGUUACUUCUAAGAAUUUGUACUUGGGUGUGAAAUUGAGUUUCUACUAAAUUGCAAAAAGAUUCAAUACAUGACCUUGUAUUAGAUUUAGCUUUGAGCAAAUAGAUCCAAGUGCUCCUAGAAAAAUCAUCUACAAUGGUCAGAAAGUAUUUGGUACCAUCAUAGGCUUCAAUUGAAUUGGGUCCCCAUAUAUCACAGUGAAUAAUUUCAAAGA